rnacentral:lncRNA from 1 species
UAUACACAUUCUUUGAAUGACUACUCCUUGUUCAUCAAAGGUAAGCCUGGCUCCUUUGUGGUGGUAGCUGUCUAUGUGGAUGACAUCAUACUUACUGGGGAUGACAAUGAUGAACUGACUGCUCUGAAACUAUUUCUGGAUGCACAGUUUAAAAUCAAGGAUUUGGGGUCCUUGCAUUAUUUCUUGGGCCUUGAAGUGUCUGUUGUCCCUGGUGGGAUGCACCUUAAUCAGCACAAGUAUAUUUUUGAUUUGCUAACUCAGUUUGACUGUGUCAAAGUCUCUUCUGUUGUGUCCCCUUUGGACAUCAAUGUCAAACUUCAUGCUGAUUCUGGUGACCUCUGGUGGUCAAUGUCUCUUCUGUUGUGUCCCCUUUGGACAUCAAUGUAAAACUUCAUGUUGAUUCUGGUGACCUCUUUCCCUCUCCUGACAAGUACAGGAGUCUAGUUGGCAAGAUGCUCUUCCUGACUCAUACUAGGCUUGACAUUUGUUUUGCAGUCCAGCAUCUGAGUCAAUUUCUCAAAUCGCCCAGACUUCCCCAUAUGACUGCUGCCCUGCAUGUUUUGAGAUACCUUAAAGGCACUCCAUCAUUGGGUUUAUUCUACUCUGCUCAUGCUGAUUUUUCUGUUACUAGGUAUUCUGAUAGUGACUGGGCUGCUUGCCCUGAUACUAGGCGCUCUAUUACUGGAUUUUGUGUACUUUUGGGUGGCUGUUUGAUCAGUUGGAAAUCGAAGAAACAGCCUGUUGUUUCUCUUUCCUC